GCAGGCAGGUAAAAGGCUGGACCUGGAGCCCAGGCUCUUGGACUGCUCUGGUGCUGCCACUUUCCCGCUCUGGCCACUGGGCCAGCUUGAGACCUCUGAGCACCUUCAUGGAACAGGGAAAAGAGCAGACCACUGUCACUGAGAGAUCAACCUAAAGAAGGAAAAUGAGCACCAGAUGUGACCAGGCAGAUCCAACAACUCUUGAAACACAUGAAAAGAUACUCAGCUUCAUCCCUGAUAAGAGAAAUAAAAAGUCAGCAAGACUGAGAUACCUGGAAGAUAAUUCUAGGGCUGGGGGUGCAGCUCAGUGGAGAGCACUUGCCUUCUGGGGAUUUGGCUCCGUUGGUAGAGUGCUUGCCUCACAUGCACAAGGCCCUGGAUUCAAUCCCCAGCACCAAAAAAAAAAAAAAAAAGUUCCAAGCCCUUGCCUUCCAUGUGUGAGGCCCUGAACUCCAGCCCCAGUUAUAAAAAUAAUAAUCAAUCGUACGAAGGCUGGCAAAAACCAGACUCUGGCUAGUCUCAUUGGCAGGAGAUGAAGACCCAGCCCUGGUGGACCCUGCUGGUAGGAGCCUGAGUUGACAAAACUCCACCCCCUCAAACCUCCUCCCGUGGAGGCCAUUUGGCCAUAUCUGGUACAUCUUUAAAUCUCUAUGGCCUUGGGGGGUUAGGCUACCCAGCCCUGGCUGGACACUGGGAUCCCCAGGAUGCUUUGGUCUCCCGCUCAGAGCUUCUGACGAUGGGUGGUGGAACUUCUGAAAACCCCAAGGGUGAUUCUCAUGCACACUUGAAGCACAGAGUCCUGCUACAGAUACCUUUGGACGCAUGUAAAAUAUAUUCAAGGGCUGGAGUUGUGGCUCAGAGGUAGCGUGCUCAGCUAGCACGUCCGAAGCCCUGGAUUUGAUCCUCAGCACCGCAUGAAAACAAAUAAAAUAAAAAAGUGUUUGUGUCUAACUACAACUAAAAAAUAAAUAUUUUAAAAAAUAUA